AUCCCUGGACUGGGCCCUGGGGAACUCCAUAAGGGGAGAGGUGGAGGAGGGAGCAGGCUUUUCAUUCCAGGAACAUUCCAUUCCAGCUGCUCAGACCAGUGGGGAUCCCAGCCAAGGACAAAGGCUCAAGGGAACCUCUGCUUCCCACAGGAGCCCACGCCCCUUGCAGGGCUGGAGCCCCAGGAGCCCUGUUCAGUAACAUUCUCCUGCACCUCUAUCCACAGUGGCCCUUCUUGAGCUCCUCCCAAAUCCUCUGGGCCUCUGCUAUAAGGAUCUGGACUCCUGGAUUCUGCUCCUUCUCUGGGUACCUCCUUCAGGAAGACUUUGAGAAUUGACCCCACACGACCUCAGCGCCUUCCUCACAGGAUCCCUUCACUUCACAGUGGCAAGGGGCUGGGCUCCGGGGAACUUGCUGGUACUAAUUUCAUAUUUGUGCCACUUUGACUUUGGCUUUCACUGUACAGCUGGAGAUGUUACUACAGGCCCUGAGAUGCAAUCAGAUUAUUUAAGAAAGCAGCAAACAUUUCCAGUGUAAAAAUGGAAAGGAUUUCUUGUAAAGAUAUAGUCAUUAUUCUUAAGUCACGGUGCAGCUGGGGUCCCCAUUUUGGGAGAUGUCAUUUCUUCGAAGCACCAGGAGGCCUGUUUGAGGGGAAAGGUUGGUCUGAGAAAUCCCUGUUUCCCUCAUCCACUGUCCUUGUUCUCCCCUUGUGGGAGGUGCCUGUGGCCCCUCAGAAAGACAAUCAGCUGCUGGCUCCUGGGGGGACACACCUUUCUCAGGAGGAGGUGGUAGGAACAUAAAACUUCUAAGCAAGGUUUUAAAUGAAAAAAGGAAACAUUUAUUGACUAUCUUGAUAAUAGAGGGAGGGAGAGCACAUUUAUUCAACACAACUCAGAACUGGUGGAAUUCUGCAGAAUGAAUGCAUACUGAAUCAGUCCCCUGAUUUAUACAUUCAGGAAGAAUAAAUUCCAAUAAUGUGAGGCAAA